ACGACAAUAACAGACGAGGUCACCGAUACUAAUAACGGGUCUGUACCUGUGAGUCAUACGACGGAGGUCGUAAACUCGUUUAAACACCUUGAAGAUUAAGUAUAUCAUCAAUGCAAGUAGGGUGUGGUCGCUCUACUGCUGUAGAAGUGGGGG
rnacentral:lncRNA from 13 species